CCUUAUGAUAAUGAAGUCAUGUGUGACUAGCUUAGCUUAGCCCACUCAGAUCCACCUCACUAUGAUCUUUUCAUAUUUAAAAUAUAAAGUGUAACAUCUAUGUUUGGCUACUUCAGUGAUUAGGUUAGCUGGCUUGUAAAUGUAUUUCAGUUUGGUGAAUAACAUGCUCACUUGAUAAGAUAAGAAGUUGGACCCCCUGCUGUAAAUCUGAGAACAUUGGAUGCAUCUGACCCUCAGCAGCUCACCUUAAACCUGUGAGCAUGUGGUGGCAGAACAGUGCGCACCUCCCGUUAGUGAAGUCACUUCACUGGGAAGUACGCAUCUGUUGGAUGGGAUGGAGCGCCUUGGUCAAGAGAACUACCGCUCAGUGGAUUCUUGGCAAAAAGAUGGAACUGAACAGAGUUUUCAUCAUUGCUGUGUGAAACAUGCUUCCUCUGCCGAAUGAAUUCCAAGAUUUUUUUUAUUAAUUUACUGAUUUAAUGCUUUACCUACAAAAGAAUCAUAUUCAGGCCAUGUUCUUUUAAACUGCGGGAAUCUGUAGGAGCAGCUUAAUGACCUGUGUUCAUGUUAUCACUCCUCUUGUCCAUAGAAAUUUAGGUGAUCAAAUCUUUUUUGAAGAGUUUUUUUUUUUGUGUUUCACUGGAAUGAUGACAGUGGACAAAAAUAGGAAAUGUGAGGAUGACAUGCAAUAACGAUCCCUGGCUCUAAUUCACAUGGAAGACAUGAGUGACAAACAGUCCACCAGGAUGUUCAUGUUUAUUUUUUCUGUUAGCUGCAAAUUAUACUGUGUGACAGGCCUUAACUAUAUAUUAGGGACCAGUGAAAUGAUGUCCUCUAUUUCACACCACUGACAGAUUACUAAUUCAGACUGCAGUAUAAAAAUAGCAUGUGACAUCUAAUGAUACAUUAAGAUGUGUAAUGCUGAAUCCUUGUUUGCUACCACAUUUAAUCAUGUCUGUUACAUAUAUUAAUGAAACCUCAGUCGCUUAACAGAGAACUGAAAAUGCACAUGUAAUAAAAAAUAGCUUUAGAACAUCAUCUUGUCUGUGAACAAGUGUGAACAUCCUGUCUUUCAGUUUAUGUAUCAAUUCUCAUGGAGAUAACU